UUUUCCCCGGAUUAAUCCAGAUGGCCGCGUCCUUGUGAUUUACGAUACAUGUACAGUCAAGCUCCCCCAAAAAAUUAAACAUGCAAAUAAAAGAAGUAAUAAAGUGGAAUGUACGGGUGUCUAUGCUGUAUGCUUUGGGAAUAUGGACAAUGCUUGGCACAUACGGAUAUUAUCAGUACAUGGGGCGCAAUGAAGAAAAGCCUGUCAAAGAGAAGGAGGAACUACCUCCAAAUCCUAGAGAAGUGACUAUCCAGAGUGCACACAUGAAAACCACCAUCGUCUACAAGGAAAACUUUGUUCCUUAUUCUACAAGGGUCUACAAUUUUGUCAGCUCGCUCAGUCGGGACUCUGCAUCUGCUGACAGCCAAGACAAUACAAAGUAAUGGUGAAAAAGUGAAAGCUGACGUGAACUGAUGCCAUUGCCUGCCUAGGCUACCACAUUUGAGAUGUGUGAAGCAAAAUACUUAGGAAUUAACACUGUAAAUUGUCCAUUGAAUAUAUCUCUGUGUAAAAUACACUGACUGAAAUUAUUUGUCACUUGUACAAUGAAUUGAAAUAAAACAGUAUCCCUCA